UGGAAGAGUUUUUGUUGAUUCUAGGCCACUGGCCUAUUCUGGUGGCCUAGCUUCCUCCAAGCUCAGCCGUCCUUGCAAGUACGAUGGGAGAGUUUUUAUAGAUUCUGGGCCACUAAGGUAAUUUGAUGGCCUAGCUUUUUCCUAUCGCGGCUUUCUAAUAAUUUACGAUGGAAGAGUUCUUGAAAAUUCUAGGCCACCAGCCAAGUCUGGUGGCCUAGCUUCUGCAAGCCUUGGUCGCCCUAGAAGUUUCGGUGGAAGAGUUUUUGGUAAACUUUAGACCUUAGACCAUCAGCUCAGACA
ensembl:ncRNA C54G6.7 ncRNA